UACGUAGGCAGCAAGCGUUGUUCGGAGUUACUGGGCGUAAAGAGUGUGUAGGCGGUUCUCUAAGUUCGGUGUGAAAUCUCCCGGCUCAACUGGGAGGGUGCGCCGGAAACUGGAGGGCUUGAGUAUGGGAGAGGAAAGCGGAAUUCCUGGUGUAGCGGUGAAAUGCGUAGAUAUCAGGAGGAACACCUGCGGUGUAGACGGCUUUCUGGACCAUCACUGACGCUGAGACACGAAAGCGUGGGGAGCAAACAGG
rnacentral:rRNA from 1 species